rnacentral:rRNA from 1 species
AUUGAACGCUGGCGGCAUGCCUUACACAUGCAAGUCGAACGGCAGCACGGGUGCUUGCACCUGGUGGCGAGUGGCGAACGGGUGAGUAAUACAUCGGAACGUACCUUAUCGUGGGGGAUAACGCAGCGAAAGCUUGGCUAAUACCGCAUACGGCCCGAGGGGGAAAGCGGGGGAUCGCAAGACCUCGCGCGAUUAGAGCGGCCGAUGCCUGAUUAGAUUGUUGGUGGGGUAAAAGCCCACCAAGGCGACGAUCAGUAGCUGGUCUGAGAGGACGAUCAGCAACACUGGGACUGAGACACGGCCCAGACUCCUACGGGAGGCAGCAGUGGGGAAUUUUGGACAAUGGGGGCAACCCUGAUCCAGCAAUGCCGCGUGAGUGAAGAAGGCCUUCGGGUUGUAAAGCUCUUUUGUCAGGGAAGAAACACCGGCUCUAACACAGUCCGGGAAUGACGGUACCUGAAGAAUAAGCACCGGCUAACUACGUGCCAGCAGCCGCAGUAA